GACGAACGCUGGCGGCGUGCUUAACACAUGCAAGUCGAACGAUGAAGCUAGAGCUUGCUCUGGUGAAUUAGUGGCGAACGGGUGAGUAACACGUGAGUAACCUGCCCCGAACUCUGGGAUAACUGCUGGAAACGGUAGCUAAUACUGGAUACGACCUACGAAGGCAUCUUCUGUAGGUGGAAAGAAUUUCGGUUCGGGAUGGACUCGCGGCCUAUCAGCUUGUUGGUGAGGUAAUGGCUCACCAAGGCGACGACGGGUAGCCGGCCUGAGAGGGUGACCGGCCACACUGGGACUGAGACACGGCCCAGACUCCUACGGGAGGCAGCAGUGGGGAAUAUUGCACAAUGGGCGCAAGCCUGAUGCAGCAACGCCGCGUGAGGGAUGACGGCCUUCGGGUUGUAAACCUCUUUUAGUAGGGAAGAAGCGAAAGUGACGGUACCUGCAGAAAAAGCACCGGCUAACUACGUGCCAGCCGCCGCCGUAA
rnacentral:rRNA from 1 species